AUAUCAACUCGAUUUUAAAGUAAAAGUGCAUCUGAUUUACAUAGCUAAAAGCUGUUCUGUGUGCAAGCUAGUGAGCAGCCUGAGGAUGAGGAAGGACUUUUCUGGUUACUGAAAGGAGAUUAGUAUCCUGAGGGUGCUUUCCAUCACUGCUCACAGGUGCAUCCCAAGUCAUAGCCAUGGAGAAGCCAAAAUGAUCCUUUCUCAGCUGAACUGCAAGAUUUGGAAGGAGAGAGCUGCUAAAUGGCCUGGGAGAUGCCCUGCUGGGAGACACUCACGCCUUUAUCCCUGGCACUGCCUGCCUCCCACUGUGUUCCACUGGCUCUUCUUGGGAGUUUGCAGCAAGAAGUUCUUGUCCCACGACUGGAAACCUUGGAACCAUAUACUGUGUCCAGCUGUUGAUCCUCACAAUGUGAACACAGAAGACUAUUGUAUAGCUUCCAAACUAGCAAGGCACUGUAUAAUAUAUUGUAUUAUUACGUAUUAUUAUUAUGUACUAACAUAUGCAGUAAUACAUGAAGAAAUGCAUGUGUCCAUAAAAUAUUAUAAUAUAGAUAAGAUCACAAGAAAACAUUCCUGAUUAAUAUAAUUCUUUGCAUAUAUCCUCAGCAUGAUACAAGCAGUUUGAAAAGAGCUCUGAUGCAAUUUUCUUCAUAUACUAAAGUAUAUGAAGAAAAUGUAAAAAAGUUGUGCAGCACUGCUGUGAAAUAUUUUACAGAUAGUUGAGUAUUGGUAAUUGCUAAGUUAUCCCAUUGAAAUAAUAUCUAUAAACGUAUCCUAGACCUACAUCAAAUUAGAAGUAGACUAUCUGACCUAUAUACAAUCAGAUGCAGAAGAAGAGGCACCUCACUUUAUACUCUAAAUAUCUCCACUAAAAGUUGUAGACAUGAAUUAUUUUCCCAAGCUCCUCUUUUUUUAACCCUAGCAAUGAUGAAGUGGAAAGCACUUUGAUGGGAGGCAUAUUCUUCUGACUUACCCUAUGUUCUGACUUACCACUUCUGAGUAUUGGUAAACUGCUCACUGAUUACUGACUGAAAGAAGUGAUCUGCUGCAUGUUUGCAGGCUUGGAAUUAGUCAAAGUGCACAUAGGACAAGAAUUGGGAAUACUUUCUGAUUUUCUGUGCCUCUGAAUUAAAACAUGUAAAAAUUUUGUUUCUUUUGCCCCCAUUUAAUACCUGUCAGGAUGAGACACAGGUAAGAGGUAUUUCAGCCUGAAAUGCCUAUGCCUAAUACACGAGACAACAAUCUGUUUGCUGCCAGUUAUUUUUGAACAGAGCAUUGAAUUAUUUGAACAUCCCUGAAGAAUUCAAGGCAUCAGACUUCAUCAUACCAUGUAUGCUUCCCUUGGUCUAAUCAGAGCUGAUGACUUUUUCUCUCUCCUCCUAACAGUGACAUUUGUUUUAUCCAAACAGUUAAGAUGUUACAUUUUAAAUGCUUAUUAUUAGGUCCAUGAUUAACGGAAAACUAAUAAAAAACAGCUACAUUAUCCACCUUCCUUGCAUAUCCUUCUUACAACCAGAAGAAAAUGUUUCUUCUACUUUAAGUGAACAAACACCUUCUUGGAGUAGUCUGCCUCAAUAGCUCACUGACUGGGCAUGACUAAGAAACUCACUUUAGAAAGAGAUUAGAUUAGAUCCUUAAUCAAAGUGGUGUGAAGGCAGUGAUUGAAUCAAUAAAGGAACAAGCACACAACAGGGUUUAGGUCUGAAGAGGCGAGGAGCAUGUCCCUUGAUCCCACAUCCUCCUCAUACAUUUCAUAAGGACAUGAGUGAGCCUGACGGGGUAAAUAGUCUCCAUUUGCUCUGGUCAUUGGAGGCAAGGGUGAGAUAUGAGGGAACCCAUGGGCUCCACAAGUUCCUCAGAGGUAGUGACAGGUAAACCCUUGCACGGCUCAUUAGAGAAACAGUCCAGAAUCACGUCAAGGAUUUGAACCUCCACUGUACAGAUUUUCAUCUGUCCUCUCAUUCCUCCUCAUAGCAAGGAGUGUGGGAUUUGUUACCAGGAUGAUUCAUACACUGGCUGUCAAGGGGUUCAUUGCAUGACAAAAGGGCACUGAGAUUCCUGAAUGGAAAAAUUAAAAAUUUCAGGGAGGUUUCUCUUCACAAUAUCAACACUAAUAAAAGUGUUAACCCACCACUUGGGAUGAAUUUCUGAAAUAAUUUUUUUUGUUUUCCUGCACAUGGCCAUCCUUGAUUUUGUACUACAGACAUGCUUUCAGAAAAUAGGCUAUUUUAAUAACAUUUUAUUCUGGAAUGAUUGAACAUGGAAAACUGCAACCUGGAAGAAAAUAACAAUAAUUCAGAAUAUAAUGAAAUUCUUUGAAAUUCUAUGGACCAAAAGAUGUUUGAUUCAUGACAAAUAUGAUGGGGUCUACUGAAACUUGAGAGUGUACAGAUGAUAUGACAACUGUAUUGUAUCCAGAGUACUCUGAAUGCCUGUUGUGCCUUGGAUAAGAGAUGAUCCUAUCAACUUUACAUAUGAAAAGUAUUAAAAGCAGUACAUGGAGUACAAAACUGGAAAUCUUCUUGGAUUUUUCUGAUAGUUGCCAGAGGAUGUUUAACACAAUCUUCUGCUCCAGUGAGACAAGAAUACUUCAUUAGGAUUUAUCUUGAGUACCAAGU